AAGUCGUAACAAGGUAUCCGUAGGUGAACCUGCGGAUGGAUCAUUAUGGAAUGGUUGGAUGAUUGUGAGUGGUUUUAUUAAUAGGAGAGUGGUGUUGGUUGGGAAGCGAAGCAGGAAUGCGGAGCAGGAUUGCGAAGCACGACAGCCAACAUUGCCCACGUUAAACUAUAUAAAUCUAACAUAAAUACACAUAACAAGAAACAACUUUUAGCAACGGAUCUCUUGGCUCUC
rnacentral:misc_RNA from 1 species